UUAUCUAAAGUUAGGUUUACAGUACAGACCAAGAGCCAAUUCACUGGAGACCUUCAGGAGGAUCACAAGCACCAUCUUUAUCGAUUUCUUUGCUAGAUGUAAAUAAUUCUCCAUCUGUACAUUGAAGACCACAUUAGCUUGGAUAUAUAUAUGGGUUCAUUAAGCUGGUUCUCGACUGACUACUACACUCAUAUUAAUAUGUAUUUACAUGCAGAGUAUAUAUGAGUUCAUGAUGUCGUCCAUUAUCACUGAAAUAGUAUCUAUAUUUGUUAAGGGGCCAGUAGAAGGACGCCUCCGAGUGCGGGAGUUUUUCGCUGCAUUGAAGAACUAUUGGUGACCUUCUGCUGUUGUCUGUUCUAUGGAGUUACCGCAUAUACCGUUCCGGAGCUAAAUACCAUUGUUCGAUCAGUUGGUUGUAAAAGUUAUUGAAACAACAAUACACAAAGAUAAAACAAAACAGCGCAUGCGGCAACAAGGCCAGAUCUUCAAAUACGUACUGUGAUGUAUUAUGUCGACAGAAUAUUUUUGGAAUUAUUGUCUUCAAUAUAGGGACACUUUUAUUAAACAAAUAUAUUUAUGAUUGAACUAAACCAAACCUUGCUAACAACCUCUGUAUGUUCAAAGAUUGCUACAAGUGCUGCUAAUGAUUUCAAUGUUCGAUG